UUCCAGUCAAUGAGUCACCCACACUCCCACAGGCCCACUCACCCUCUGGCCCUCUCCCUCUCCUUUUCCUGUCGAGCCUCCAGCCCUCCACUCUCAGCUCUCGCUCUCAGUUCUCACGUCUCCAAUUUCCACAUCGGGCUUUCGGCAGAGAAGAGAACUCGAACGCAGCUUGGAGGAAGCACCCAAGGAACCCUCCAUCUCGUCACUGUUCUUCAGCGUCCAGCCACUGCCGCCGUCCUCAUUGCUGCAGCUUCUGCACAACGUCGCCCUUGUUCGCCGCGCGGCUGCCUCCUUUUUGUUCAAUCUUCUGCCUCUGUUUUUUGGCCAACCCUUGCUCUGCCCUUGCUCGAGCUGCUUAGCCCUCUGUUCAGCCCUCUACACCGCGUGUUCGAGCUUCUGUUCCGCCGCCUUUCAGCCACCGUUCCGCCAUUGUUCAGCCUCCGUUCAGCCAUUUUCGUCGCAUUUUAAAGCUCCUCCCUCUCCCUGUACUGUUUGAAUUUCAGAACUGCUUCAUCCUAGGAAUCAGAAGACGAAGGUGGAAGAAGGAAGCAAAAGAAGCAGUGGUUGAAUGAAUGAAUCAGUGAAACUGAAACUGAAAUGGAGAACAACAACAACAACAACAACAACAAUAACAACGCUAUGAUUCGUGAAUGGUUCGACAGAGUUGACUCUCACAAAACUGGAACCAUAACUGCUCCCCAACUCAAGGAUGUAUGAUUUUGAUAGGAAUGGUACUAUGAGCUUUGAAGGUAUAUGCCAAUCCCAUUGCACUCUAUGCUUAACCCACUAUGCUCUAAAAAGAAGCUGAGAUUUACAUCAAUAAUCAAAUACUAUCUUGAAAUUUGGAAAGUAGUGUUCUUUCAUAUAUGGGACUUUAUUUGUUGGAGUUUAUUUAUAGUAGAAUUGAAACAUGUUCUAGCUCACUCUAACUUACUCGUAAAUGGUU